UGUGUGUGUGUAUUUGUGUGAGUGUGUGUAUAUUUGCGCGCGCAUAUACACACACACUCACACAAUUACGCACACA
rnacentral:pre_miRNA from 1 species